rnacentral:tRNA from 2 species
GCCCUCGUAGUUCAAUGGAUAGAACGAAAGGUUUCUAACCUUUUAAUGUAGGUUCGAUUCCUACCGAGGGCACAA